rnacentral:pre_miRNA from 1 species
CUGGUACUCCCUCCGUCCGAAAAUACUUGUCAUCAAAAUGGACAAAAAGGGAUGUAUCUAGAACUAAAAUACAUCUAGAUACAUCUCCUUCUAUCCAUUUUGAUGACAAGUAUUUCCGGACGGAGGAAGUACCUA